rnacentral:rRNA from 1 species
GGAUAUUGCACAAUGGGCGCAAGCCUGAUGCAGCCAUGCCGCGUGUGUGAAGAAGGCCUUCGGGUUGUAAAGCACUUUCAGUCAGGAGGAAAGGUUAGUAGUUAAUACCUGCUAGCUGUGACGUUACUGACAGAAGAAGCACCGGCUAACUCCGUGCCAGCAGCCGCGGUAAUACGGAGGGUGCGAGCGUUAAUCGGAAUUACUGGGCGUAAAGCGUACGCAGGCGGUUUGUUAAGCGAGAUGUGAAAGCCCCGGGCUCAACCUGGGAACUGCAUUUCGAACUGGCAAACUAGAGUGUGAUAGAGGGUGGUAGAAUUUCAGGUGUAGCGGUGAAAUGCGUAGAGAUCUGAAGGAAUACCGAUGGCGAAGGCAGCCACCUGGGUCAACACUGACGCUCAUGUACGAAAGCGUGGGGAGCAAACGGGAUUAGAUACCCCGGUAGUCCACGCCGUAAACGAUGUCUACUAGAAGCUCGGAGCCUCGGUUCUGUUUUUCAAAGCUAACGCAUUAAGUAGACCGCCUGGGGAGUACGGCCGCAAGGUUAAAACUCAAAUGAAUUGACGGGGGCCCGCACAAGCU